UGUGGCUGUCCCCCUUCCAGGACAUGGAAGAGCAGCACCUUGCUAAUUGGCAAGGCUUUUACCAUCUCGUUGGUAUUAGUAGUUGACUGUAGCAAGUAACACGC
rnacentral:snoRNA from 1 species